AGAGUUUGAUCCUGGCUCAGGACGAACGCUGGCGGUGUGCUUCACACAUGCAAGUCGAGCGAAUGAAGAAGGUAGCUUGCUACUUUUGGAUUUAGCGGCGGACGGGUGAGUAAUAUAUAGGAAUCUGCCCUAGAGCGGGGAACAACAGACCGAAAGGUUUGCUAAUGCCCCAUAGGUACGCAGUCUUCGGAUUGUUUAUUAAAGGAGUAAUCCACUCUAGGAUGAGCCUGUAUCCGAUUAGCUAGUUGGCGGGGUAAAGGCCCACCAAGGCUACGAUCGGUAGUUGGUCUGAGAGGAUGAUCAGCCACAAUGGGACCGAGACACGGCCCAUACUCCUACGGGAGGCAGCAGUGGGGAAUUUUACACAAUGGGGGAAACCCUGAUGUAGCGACACCGCGUGAACGAAGAAGCCUUUUGGGGUGUAAAGUUCUGUCGGCUGGAACGAAAAAAAUGACGGUACCAGCAAAGGAAGCAUCGGCUAACUACGUGCCAGCAGCCGCGGUAAGACGUAGGAUGCAAGCGUUGUCCGGACUUAUUGGGCGUAAAGAGUUCGUAGGCGGUUAUUUAAGUCUGGUGUUAAAUACUGUGGCCCAACCACAGAACUGCAUUGGAUACUGGAUGACUUGAGUGCGGUAGAGGCGAGUGGAAUUCCCAGUGUAGCGGUGAAAUGCGUAGA
rnacentral:rRNA from 1 species